AGCUUCAGCAAGUGGCAUCACCCAGCAAACUUUUAUUGGUUUCUGAAAGCUGAGCAGAGCAGGAGGAUGGUUAGUAUUUGGAUGGGAGACCACAAGGGAAUCCCUAGGCUGAAGGUU
rnacentral:rRNA from 1 species